rnacentral:tRNA from 1 species
UGGGGGAUCGUCUAGUGGUAGGACGACAGACUCUGGAUCUGUCUACCUAGGUUCGAAUCCUAGUCCCCCAGCCA